rnacentral:rRNA from 1 species
GAUGAACGCUAGCUACAGGCUUAACACAUGCAAGUCGAGGGGCAGCGGGAUUGAAGCUUGCUUCAAUUGCCGGCGACCGGCGCACGGGUGAGUAACGCGUAUCCAACCUUCCGCUUACUCGGGGAUAGCCUUUCGAAAGAAAGAUUAAUACCCGAUGGUAUCUUAAGCACGCAUGAGAUUAAGAUUAAAGAUUUAUCGGUAAGCGAUGGGGAUGCGUUCCAUUAGGCAGUUGGCGGGGUAACGGCCCACCAAAACCUACGAUGGAUAGCCGGUCUGAGAGGAUGAACGGCCACAAUGGAACUGAGACACGGUCCAU